rnacentral:lncRNA from 10 species
UUAUCAGGGUGAACAAAGCAGGGGAGUAAGAGCAUCAGUAACUGUGAAACUCUAGGAGUUUGUCUUCAUUCUUUCAGUGAUAGACAGGGUCUCACACUGUCACUUAGGCUGGAGCACAGUGUGACAACAGCUGACUGCAGCCUCAAACUCCUGGUCUUAAGUGAUUCUUCCCACCUCGGCCUCCUGAGUAGCUGGAAUUACAGGCAUGAGCCACGGCAUCCAGCCAUAAACUCUUUUGUCACCAUUUUUCUAGAGUCAAUAUCUAGCAUUUGUAUUUCGUACAUCAUACACUUGAGUUAGUAUCUGUGGAAAGGAUAAAUACAUAAGGAAAAGAGAUGCAGGAAGCUGCAGAGACACUGGCCAUUUAUCUGAGAAGUGCCCAAUGAGGCAUCACCGGAUAAGCACACGUCGGGUCGUUCUCCUGCUUCAGUAAGGUCUGUGGCGUUGACAUUAUCAAUGCUAUGGAUGCCUCAAGGCUCUCAUAAAAAUACAUGGCUUCAGCAAUACGCAUGCAGUUAUCUCAGUUUAAAGGAAAUGGGUUCUGCUCCCUGCUUAAUAAGAAAUCCUGCUUACUUCUCCAGCUUUUGAAGCACAGAUUAUUUUUCUUCUCUUCAUCAUAUAAAAAUGGAAAUUAUCAAAACAAAACAUCAUCAAAACAAAACAUCAUCAAAAACAGGUUGCUCUCUGAGUAAAGGUUUUAUGUUUGUUUGGGAUAGAAUCUCAUUCUGUCACCCAGGCCAGAGAGCACUGACAUUAUCAUGGCUCACUGCAA